rnacentral:rRNA from 1 species
AUGGCCAAAGUGUCAGACUUUGGAACCUCCAUACUAGCCCCGUCUGACAAAGAGCAGUUUGUCACAAUAGUUCAAGGUACUUGUGGUUACCUUGAUCCUGAAUACAUGCAAACAUGUCAGCUAACAGACAAAAGUGAUGUGUACAGUUUCGGAGUUAUCCUUUUAGAGAUUCUCACAGGCCAAUUGCCACUAAAGCUCGAGGGGUCUGAGACGCAAAGAAGCUUGUCAUUGGUUUUCUUGUGUGCUAUGAAGAACAAUAAUCUAGAUGAUAUGUUGGCGAGCCAUGUGAAAAGCGAAGAGAGCAUGGAAUUGCUGACAGGACUUGCAGACCUAGCAAAGCAAUGCCUAGAUAUGCAUGGUAUCAAUAGGCCCUCAAUGAAAGAGGUUGCCGAUGAGCUCAACAAAUUGAGGAAGCUUUCAGUGCAUCCUUGGUUACAACUUGACAUGGAGGCAAAUGCAGAAAGCCUUCUUGGUGGAGAGCCAACCAGCGGUCAUGAAAUUGAAUUAAGUGGGUAUACUAUAGGAGAAAAUGAGAACCAACCUAUAAACCCAAGAAGUUCUUAUUAUGCUAAGUGA